rnacentral:rRNA from 1 species
UGGGUAACUGGCUCACCAAGGCGAACGAUGCGUAGCCGACCUGAGAGGGUGAUCGGCCACACUGGGGACUGAGACACGGCCCAGACUCCUACGGGAGGCAGCAGUAGGGAAUCUUCCGCAAUGGACGAAAGUCUGACGGAGCAACGCCGCGUGAGUGAUGAGCAGUUUUCGGGUCGUAAAACUCUGUUGUUAGGGAAGAACAAGUGCUAGUUGAAUAAGCUGGCACCUUGACGGUACCUAACCAGAAAGCCACGGCUAACUACGUGCCAGCAGCCGCGGUAA